GAUGAAGAACGUAGCAAAAUGCGAUAAGUAAUGUGAAUUGCAGAAUUCAGUGAAUCAUCGAAUCUUUGAACGCACAUUGCGCCCGCCAGUAUUCUGGCGGGCAUGCCUGUUCGAGCGUCAUUUCAACCCUCAAGCCCUCGGGUUUGGUGUUGGGGAUCGGCGAGCCUUUCUGGCAAGCCGGCCCCGAAAUCUAGUGGCGGUCUCGCUGCAGCCUCCAUUGCGUAGUAGAAAAACCCUCGCAACUGGAACGCGGCGCGGCCAAGCCGUUAAACCCCCAACUUCUGAAUGUUGACCUCGGAUCAGGUAGGAAUACCCGCUGAACUUAAGCAUAUCAAUAAGCGGAGGA
rnacentral:misc_RNA from 1 species